AUGGCUUCCAGCUCUAACUCUUCAGGAUUUAUUCAUCGUCAGUACGGGCCACUUCCUCUUGUGAACUACACGACUUGUGGAUUUAGGGUUGUUAAAAGGUACACUACUGAUAUGAUGAACAACAAGAUCCAUGAUUUCUUGAAGUGA
rnacentral:rRNA from 1 species